rfam:Dipodomys ordii contig_66862, whole genome shotgun sequence.
GGUGGCUCAGUGGUAGAGCACUUGCCUUGCAUGCAUGAGGCCCUGCGUUCGAUUCCCCAGCACCA